rnacentral:rRNA from 1 species
GACGAACGCUGGCGGCGUGCCUAAUACAUGCAAGUAGAACGCACAGUUUAUACCGUAGCUUGCUACACCAUAAACUGUGAGUUGCGAACGGGUGAGUAACGCGUAGGUAACCUGCCUGGUAGCGGGGGAUAACUAUUGGAAACGAUAGCUAAUACCGCAUAAUAUUGAUUAUUGCAUGAUAAUUGAUUGAAAGAUGCUAUUGCAUCACUACCAGAUGGACCUGCGUUGUAUUAGCUAGUAGGUGAGGUAACGGCUCACCUAGGCGACGAUACAUAGCCGACCUGAGAGGGUGAUCGGCCACACUGGGACUGAGACACGGCCCAGACUCCUACGGGAGGCAGCAGUAGGGAAGCUUCGGCAAUGGACGAAAGUCUGACCGAGCAACGCCGCGUGAGUGAAGAAGGUUUUCGGAUCGUAAAGCUCUGUUGUAAGAGAAGAACGGGUGUGAGAGUGGAAAGUUCACACUGUGACGGUAUCUUACCAGAAAGGGACGGCUAACUACGUG